GUACUAUUGCGGCCGCCCUCUGCUGCGCCUGAAGAGAGAGGCGACUCUACAAGCCUCACAGCAUGCACUGUUACUAAAAAGACGAUGCGUCCUCCUGGACCUGAGAUCUGUGUGAUCGUGGGAAAGCGACGAAAAACGUACGUAAUUUUUUUCUGAAGGCACCUUCGGGACACCUUACCCUUCCCUCAGGGGGGCCCAGCUUCGCGCGCGGUGCUGUGGGGGUUGUAGUUCCUCCGCCGGAGCGGGACCUCCGGUGCCCCGGGCCAGGGAUGUGAGAAAGAAGCGAGCCCUCGAGUUUCCUCGGGGCAUGUGGGAAGGUUUUUUUCAGGAUCCAGGCAGAACCUUACAGAGCUGGGAGUUUUUUAACUUUCCAUUCCUGGCAGUGACGCCAGGAGCUUUAAGUGAUGGAAAUAUGCGAGUCAAUCAGUGGAUGGUGAACAAAGGAACAGUAAAUGGAGUAACUUGGCUAGAAUAUGGCAGUAACUACAAGGCAUGUUCUGCUCUGGCACGAAGGAAAGGCUACAUCUCUUUCUCUGUCCGUGCACCAGGGAAAGGUUUUGAUC
rnacentral:lncRNA from 1 species